ensembl:snRNA U6 U6 spliceosomal RNA
GUGCUUGCUUUGGCAGAACAUUUUCUAAAACUGGAGCUAUACAGAGAAAAGACUAGCAUGACUCCUGAGCGAAUAGUGACAUGCAGAUCUGUGAGGUGUUCCAUAUUUUU